AACGAACGCUGGCGGCAUGCCUAACACAUGCAAGUCGAACGAGACCUUCGGGUCUAGUGGCGCACGGGUGCGUAACGCGUGGGAACCUGCCCUUAGGUUUGGAAUAACUCCCCGAAAGGGGUGCUAAUACCGGAUCAUGUCUUCGGACCAAAGAUUUAUCGCCUUUGGAUGGGCCCGCGUUGGAUUAGCUAGUUGGUAGGGUAAAAGCCUACCAAGGCGACGAUCCAUAGCUGGUCUGAGAGGAUGAUCAGCCACACUGGGACUGAGACACGGCCCAGACUCCUACGGGAGGCAGCAGUGGGGAAUAUUGGACAAUGGGCGAAAGCCUGAUCCAGCAAUGCCGCGUGAGUGAUGAAGGCCUUAGGGUUGUAAAGCUCUUUUACCCGGGAUGAUAAUGACAGUACCGGGAGAAUAAGCUCCGGCUAACUCCGUG
rnacentral:rRNA from 1 species